CAGGCCAGUAUUUAUCAGGAGGAGAAGAAUGUUGUAGAUUUGUAUAUCAUACUUCUUAGAUAUUCGAGUUUGGUGUCUGAAACUAUAUCGUUCCACCAAGAUUACCAGGUUCUGCUUCCAAAGGAAAGAAUAAAUUAUAAGAAGAGAUUGUUAGCAGUACUAGAUGAGCUUGAAUCUUUGAAAC